GUGCUCAAUUCGGCAGCACAUAUGCUAAAAUUAGAACAAUACAGAGAAGAUCGCAUGGCUUCUGCACAAGAAUGACAUGCAAAUUUGUAAAGCGUUUCAUAGUUUA